rnacentral:lncRNA from 1 species
AGACAGUAGCAUCUGAAACCCAGCCGGCUUCCGUUCUGAGUGGGUUACCUAGCACUGUGUGGUGGCCAUACAGAAGUCACUCCAGAAGACAAUAGGAAUGAAAUUCUGUGGCUUGGCACCUGCCCGGCAUAUGUAAGCCCCCCCCCCCCGUAUCAUCCCUAUCAGAAUAAAUAAUCCAUGCACAGGGCCGACUGCCGGGUUACCAGUGUCCGGAGAUACUGGAAGGCCACUGUCCAAUCUCCCUAGCAAGGUUGGGUGAUUAAAUACAGAGUAUUUGCUUGGGAGUUUGCCCUGUCACCUAGGCUCGAGGAUCCCAGGACAACUCCCAGCCCCAUCCUCCGGUCUCUUCUUCCUUCGUCUCUACUUCCCCAAGUGCUUAAGGACCCAAGGAUCUGAAGGCCACUGGGGCCUUCAUUCCCGAGGAGAAGAUGGCUCAGUUCUGAGCAGCUUAGAAGUCAGCUGAGUCUCAUGGUUAUUGCCCGGAUGCUGGGUCAGCAGGAGUCACUUCCUCUCUGGGGAGAGAAGACCCAGCUAGCCUUGCUCAGCCAGCUCCUCAGCCUCAUGAGGCCAUCAUCCCUCAGGCAGUGUCUGGGCUCUGAAACAUUGCCAUCCAGUCCAGGG